CAUAUCAAUAAGCGGAGGAAAAGAAACUAACAAGGGAUUCCCCCUAGUAACUGCGAGUGAAGCGGGAAAAGCUCAAAUUUAAAAUCUGUCAGUCUUUGGCUGUCCGAGUUGUAAUCUAGAGAAGUGUUAUCCGCGCUGGACCGUGUACAAGUCUCCUGGAAUGGAGCGUCAUAGAGGGUGAGAAUCCCGUCUUUGACACGGACUACCAGGGCUUUGUGAUAUGCUCUCAAAGAGUCGAGUUGUUUGGGAAUGCAGCUCAAAAUGGGUGGUAAAUUCCAUCUAAAGCUAAAUAUUGGCGAGAGACCGAUAGCGAAUAAGUACCGUGAGGGAAAGAUGAAAAGAACUUUGGAAAGAGAGUUAAACAGUACGUGAAAUUGCUGAAAGGGAAACGCUUGAAGUCAGUCGCGUUGUCCAGGAAUCAACCUUGCUUUUGCUUGGUGUACUUUCUGGUUAACGGGUCAGCAUCAAUUUUGACUAUUGGAAAAAGAUUAGGGGAAUGUGGCAUCUUCGGAUGUGUUAUAGCCCUUGGUUGCAUACAAUGGUUGGGAUUGAGGAACUCAGCACGCCGCAAGGCCGGGUUUUAACCACGUACGUGCUUAGGAUGCUGGCAUAAUGGCUUUAAUCGACCCGUCUUGAAACACGGACCAAGGAGUCUAACAUGCCUGCGAGUGUUUGGGUGGAAAACCCGAGCGCGUAAUGAAAGUGAAAGUUGAGAUCCCUGUCGUGGGGAGCAUCGACGCCCGGACCAGACCUUUUGUGACGGUUCCGCGGUAGAGCAUGUAUGUUGGGACCCGAAAGAUGGUGAACUAUGCCUGAAUAGGGUGAAGCCAGAGGAAACUCUGGUGGAGGCUCGUAGCGAUUCUGACGUGCAAAUCGAUCGUCAAAUUUGGGUAUAGGGGCGAAAGACUAAUCGA
rnacentral:rRNA from 1 species